GAUGAACGCUGGCGGCGUGCCUAAUACAUGCAAGUCGAGCGAACAGAUGAUGAGCUUGCUCCUCUGACGUUAGCGGCUGACGGGUGAGUAACACGUGGAUAACCUACCUAUAAUACUGGGAUAACUUCGGGAAACCGGAGCUAAUACCGGAUAAUAUAUUGAACCGCAUAGUUCAAUAGUGAAUGACGGUUUUCCUGUCACUUUUAGACGAAUCCGCGCCGCAUUAGCUAGUUGGUAAGGUAACGGCUUACCAAGGCAACGAUGCGUAGCCGACCUGAGAGGAUGAUCGGCCACACUGGAACUGAGACACGGUCCAGACUCCUACGGGAGGCAGCAGUAGGGAAUCUUCCGCAAUGGGCGAAAGCCUGACGGAGCAACGCCGCGUGAGUGAUGAAGGUCUUCGGAUCGUAAAACUCUGUUAUUAGGGAAGAAAAAAUGUGUAAGUAACUAUGCACGUCUUGACGGUACCUAAUCAGAAAGCCACGGCUAACUACGUG
rnacentral:rRNA from 1 species